rnacentral:rRNA from 1 species
GCUUCCCUCUUUCUUCGUGCCUAAUACAUGCAAGUCGAGCGAAUGGACGAGAAGCUUGCUUCUCUGAUGUUAGCGGCGGACGGGUGAGUAACACGUGGAUAACCUACCUAUAAGACUGGGAUAACUUCGAGAAACCGGAGCUAAUACCGGAUGAUAUUUUGAACCGCAUGGUUCAAAAGUGAAAGACGGUCUUGCUGUCACUUAUAGAUGGAUCCGCGCUGCAUUAGCUAGUUGGUAAGGUAACGGCUUACCAAGGCAACGAUGCAUAGCCGACCUGAGAGGGUGAUCGGCCACACUGGAACUGAGACACGGUCCAGACUCCUACGGGAGGCAGCAGUAGGGAAUCUUCCGCAAUGGGCGAAAGCCUGACGGAGCAACGCCGCGUGAGUGAUGAAGGUCUUCGGAUCGUAAAACUCUGUUAUUAGGGAAGAACAUAUGUGUAAGUAACUGUGCACAUCUUGACGGUACCUAAUCAGAAAGCCACGGCUAACUACGUG